AUUGAACGCUGGCGGCAUGCUUUACACAUGCAAGUCGAACGGUAACAGGCCGCAAGGUGCUGACGAGUGGCGAACGGGUGAGUAAUGCAUCGGAACGUGCCCAGUCGUGGGGGAUAACGCAGCGAAAGCUGCGCUAAUACCGCAUACGAUCUAUGGAUGAAAGCGGGGGACCGUAAGGCCUCGCGCGAUUGGAGCGGCCGAUGUCAGAUUAGGUAGUUGGUGGGGUAAAGGCUCACCAAGCCAACGAUCUGUAGCUGGUCUGAGAGGACGACCAGCCACACUGGGACUGAGACACGGCCCAGACUCCUACGGGAGGCAGCAGUGGGGAAUUUUGGACAAUGGGCGCAAGCCUGAUCCAGCAAUGCCGCGUGCAGGAAGAAGGCCUCGGGUUGUAAACUGCUUUUGUACGGAACGAAACGGUUCUGGUUAAUACCUGGGGCUAAUGACGGUACCGUAAGAAUAAGCACCAGCUAACUACGUGCCAGCCGCCGCAGUAAGAC
rnacentral:rRNA from 1 species